ensembl:ncRNA C42D8.10 ncRNA
AAGCUCCACGCAGCCCGAAAACCAAAUCCCCAUUUGGAGGGCGGGCGCUUCGAGACGGCUCGAUGAAUUGCUCCAUUCAGCGGCGACGUUGGUGCUCUCUAUUUACUACGGUAGUUGAGAGUCGUA